AGCUGAAUUGUUUAAAAAUUACUCAUGGGGCAGCAGAUUAAUGUUACCUGAUUAAUUCAUAUUAUAACAAUACAUAAUUUGCUUUAAAACAAGGUUACAGAUUGUAUUUUUGAGACAGAUACAUGCUAACUAGGUGAGGUAGCUAACUCAAGCUAGUGUUGUGAAUGACAACCUGAUUAAGUUAACUUGAAAGGGAUAGAUUAUUCAGUCCUAAAAUUUUAUGUCAAAUUGUAUUCAUAUUCUGGUAAAGCAGGAGUUUUUGAAAAACAAAAAAUCAUUAAAGGUACUCAAUCACAUCCCCACUAUCAGUUCAUUAUAGCUGAAUACAAAAAUUUCCCAGCAAAAGCGCAUUACGGGAUGAGUAUCUCUUAUUCACCUGUUCUACAUAAUGUUUUGGUUCUAUGUGUUAGUGAACACACCCCACGUGCAUAUGUUUAACAUAAUAAGACCAAAUGAGCGGAGGAAAGUGAUUGUAAAUCACCAGAUGGAAGCUCCAUAAGAAAGUGGGAAAGUCAAAAAUCAAGUAAUGAAAGAAGGCAUUAGAUUCCACGAUAAAAGUAGAGUGGAGUUUGGAGAGGAAUAUGAACAUUGAUUCAUACUGAAGAUGGAGUUAAAGCU